rnacentral:rRNA from 1 species
AGAGUUUGAUCCUGGCUCAGGACGAACGCUGGCGGCGCGCCUAACACAUGCAAGUCGAACGAGCGAGAGAGAGCUUGCUUUCUCAAGCGAGUGGCGAACGGGUGAGUAACGCGUGAGGAACCUGCCUCAAAGAGGGGGACAACAGUUGGAAACGACUGCUAAUACCGCAUAAGCCCACAGCUCGGCAUCGAGCAGAGGGAAAAGGAGCAAUCCGCUUUGAGAUGGCCUCGCGUCCGAUUAGCUAGUUGGUGAGGUAAUGGCCCACCAAGGCGACGAUCGGUAGCCGGACUGAGAGGUUGAACGGCCACAUUGGGACUGAGACACGGCCCAGACUCCUACGGGAGGCAGCAGUGGGGAAUAUUGCACAAUGGGGGAAACCCUGAUGCAGCGACGCCGCGUGGAGGAAGAAGGUCUUCGGAUUGUAAACUCCUGUUGUUGAGGAAGAUAAUGACGGUACUCAACAAGGAAGUGACGGCUAACUACGUGCCAGCAGCCGCGGUAAAACGUAGGUCACAAGCGUUGUCCGGAAUUACUGGGUGUAAAGGGAGCGCAGGCGGGAAGACAAGUUGGAAGUGAAAUCUAUGGGCUCAACCCAUAAACUGCUUUCAAAACUGUUUUUCUUGAGUAGUGCAGAGGUAGGCGGAAUUCCCGGUGUAGCGGUGGAAUGCGUAGAUAUCGGGAGGAACACCACUGGCGAAGGCGGCCUACUGGGCACCAACUGACGCUGAGGCUCGAAAGUGUGGGUAGCAAACAGGAUUAGAUACCCUGGUAGUCCACACCGUAAACGAUGAUUACUAGGUGUUGGAGGAUUGACCCCUUCAGUGCCGCAGUUAACACAAUAAGUAAUCCACCUGGGGAGUACGACCGCAAGGUUGAAACUCAAAGGAAUUGACGGGGGCCCGCACAAGCAGUGGAGUAUGUGGCUUAAUUCGACGCAACGCGAAGAACCUUACCAAGUCUUGACAUCCCUUGACGAACAUAGAAAUAUGUUUUCUCUUCGGAGCAAGGAGACUGGUGGUGCAUGGUUGUCGUCAGCUCGUGUCGUGAGAUGUUGGGUUAAGUCCCGCAACGAGCGCAACCCUUACUGUCAGUUACUACGCAAGAGGACUCUGGCAGGACUGCCGUUGACAAAACGGAGGAAGGUGGGGAUGACGUCAAAUCAUCAUGCCCUUUAUGACUUGGGCUACACACGUACUACAAUGGCGUUAAACAAAGAGAAGCAAGACCGCGAGGUGGAGCAAAACUCAGAAACAACGUCCCAGUUCGGACUGCAGGCUGCAACUCGCCUGCACGAAGUCGGAAUUGCUAGUAAUCGUGGAUCAGCAUGCCACGGUGAAUACGUUCNCCGGGCCCUUGUACACACCGCCCGUC